AUUGAACGCUGGCGGCAGGCCUAACACAUGCAAGUCGAACGGUAACAGGAAGCAGCUUGCUGCUUCGCUGACGAGUGGCGGACGGGUGAGUAAUGUCUGGGAAGCUGCCUGAUGGAGGGGGAUAACUACUGGAAACGGUAGCUAAUACCGCAUAAUGUCGCAAGACCAAAGAGGGGGACCUUCGGGCCUCUUGCCAUCGGAUGUGCCCAGAUGGGAUUAGCUUGUUGGUGGGGUAACGGCUCACCAAGGCGACGAUCCCUAGCUGGUCUGAGAGGAUGACCAGCCACACGGGAACUGAGACACGGUCCAGACUCCUACGGGAGGCAGCAGUGGGGAAUAUUGCACAAUGGGCGCAAGCCUGAUGCAGCCAUGCCGCGUGUAUGAAGAAGGCCUUCGGGUUGUAAAGUACCUUCAGCGGGGAGGAAGGGAGUAAAGUUAAUACCUUUGCUCAUUGACGUUACCCGCAGAAGAAGCACCGGCUAACUCCGUG
rnacentral:rRNA from 1 species